CCUACGGGAGGCUGCAGUAGGGAAUAUUGCUCAAUGGGGGAUACCCUGAAGCAGCAACGCCGCGUGGAGGAUGAAGGUUUUAGGAGUGUAAACUCCUUUUGUGAGAGAAGAUAAUGACGGUAUCUCACGAAUAAGCACCGUCUAACUCCGUGCCAGCAGCGGCGGUAAUACGGAGGGUGCAAGCGUUACUCGGAAUCACCGGGGGUAAAGGGUGCGCAGGCGGGCUUGUAAGUCAGAUGUGAAAGCCUGUAGCUUAACGAUAGAACUGCAUUUGAAACUAUGAGCUUAGAGUGUGGGAGAGGUAGGUGGAAUUCUUGGUGUAGCGGUAAAAUCCGUAGAUAUCA
rnacentral:rRNA from 1 species